rnacentral:rRNA from 1 species
AUUGAACGCUGGCGGCGUGCCUAACACAUGCAAGUCGAACGAGUGGCGGACGGGUGAGUAGUGUCGGAGAAACUGCCUGAUCUAGGGGGCUAACGACUGUAAACGGUGGAAAAUAGCGCAUACCAUCGGUUGUGGCCUGAGGGGCUUAGCUAGUAGGGGGGGUAAAGGCUCAUCUAGGCGCCGAUCCCUAGCAGGUCUGAGAGGAUGACCAGCCACACUGGAACUGAGACACGGUCCAGACUCCUACGGGAGGCAGCAGUGGGGAAUAUUGAACAAUGGGCGCAAGCCUGAUGCAGCCAUGCCGCGUGUAUGAAGAAGGCCUUCGGGUUGUAAAGUACUGUUAGUGGGGAGGCGUUACCCGCAGAAGAAGCACCGGCUAACUCCGUGCCAGCAGCCGCGGUAAUAC